rnacentral:rRNA from 1 species
GACGAACGCUGGCGGCGUGCUUAACACAUGCAAGUCGAACGGUGAAGCGCCUUCCUUUUUGGUGGGUGUGGAUGAGUGGCGAACGGGGGAGUAACACGUGAGUAACCUGCCCCCUUCUUCUGGAUAACCGCAUGAAAGUGUGGCUAAUACGGGAUAUUCUGGGUCUGUCGCAUGAUGGGUCUGGGAAAGAUAUUGUUUCGGGGGGGGAGGGGCUCGCGGCCUAUCAGCUUGUUGGUGGGGUGAUGGCCUACCAAGGCGGUGACGGGUAGCCGGCCUGAGAGGGUGGACGGUCACACUGGGACUGAGACACGGCCCAGACUCCUACGGGAGGCAGCAGUGGGGAAUAUUGCACAAUGGGCGCAAGCCUGAUGCAGCGACGCCGCGUGAGGGAUGGAGGCCUUCGGGUUGUGAACCUCUUUCGCCAGUGAAGCAGGCCUGCCUCGUUUGUGGGUGGGUUGACGGUAGCUGGAUAAGAAGCGCCGGCUAACUACGUG